ensembl:miRNA
AUUAGAUUGGUGCAAAAGUAAUUGCAGUUUUUGCAAUUACUUUUAAUGGCAAAAACUGCAAUUACUUUUGCACCAACCUAA